rnacentral:tRNA from 2 species
AGGCCUUUGGCGCAAAGGUAGCGCGUCCGCCUCCUAUUAUGAGCGAGCGGAAGGCUGUGGGUUCGAGUCCCAUGAGGCCUG